GACGAACGCUGGCUGCGUGCUUAACACAUGCAAGUCGAACGGUACGGCCCUUCGGGGUACACGAGUGGCGAACGGGUGAGUAACACGGGGGUGAUCUGCGCUGCACCUCGGGAUACCCCUGGGAAACUGGGUCUAAUCCCGGAUAGGACCACUGCCUGCCGGGGUGGUGGUUGGCUGCUUUUGCGCUGUGGGCCGGCCCCGCGGCCUGUCAGCUUGUUGGUGGGGUGAUUGCGUACCAAGUCGACGACGGGUAGCCGGCCUGGAGGGGUGACCGGCCACACUGGGACUGAGAUACGGCCCAGACUCCUACGGGGGGCAGCAGUGGGGAAUAUUGCACAAUGGGCGCAAGCCUGAUGCAGCGACGCCGCGUGGGGGAUGACGGCCUUCGGGUUGUAAACCUCUUUCAGCAUCGACGAAGCGAAAGUGACGGUAGGUGCAGAAGAAGGACCGGCCAACUACGUGCCAGCCGCCGCGGUAA
rnacentral:rRNA from 1 species